CUUGACUGUAUCCUGGAAUUGGGUUCGGGCUUUUCUUGCGCAGCCUAGGUGGGAGGCUAUGAAGAUUUCCUUCCGGGGAAGUUGGAGCCAUCAGUGAGAGACCACUCUGGAGAGGCUAGAAUCCUAAUGGUGAUCCUUGAAUCAGGACACUUGACAGUUUCAGGUGGGCAGUUUUUCUGGGGCGGAAGCCUCAUAAAGGGUAACUGAGGCGCGCAAAGGUCCCCUCAGUCUGGACGGAAAUCAGACAACGAGUGUAAAGGCAAAAGGGGGCUCGACUGCAAGACCUACAAGUCGAGCGGGAGCGAAAGCUGGCCUUAGUGAUCCGACGGUUCCGCGUGGAAGGGCCGUCGCUCAACGGAUAAAAGUUA
rnacentral:rRNA from 1 species